CAGCUCAGCCCCCUCAACCGACGCCUGGGUCCCAGGGUGAAGGACUGCCAUGAAAGAACCCAGUAAGAACUAGAGGAGGGUACAUUAGAAUGCAGCAGUAAGCGGGAAAGGCGGGCAGGGGCAGCCCCUCUCUUUCGGGCAUCCUGCUCCCAGGAUGGACGCAUGGGCUGAACCCCCUCCAAGAAGACAUCAACUGACAAGACACGGAGGAGAGGGCCCUGGAUUGCAGACAGCCGUGCGGGCUGUACUUUCAGAACAGCAGGCCUCACCUCAGACUAGAUUAACUGAUGUGGAACAGCUGGGAUCUACUGAGCAACACAGCCAAAAGCCUUUCCACAGGGCCUUCCCUGAUGGUCCAGCGGCUACAAAUCUGCCUUACAGUGCAGAGGACGCAGGUUCGAACCCUAGUCAGGGAACUAAGACCCCCACCUGCCCCAGGGCAAGUAAGCCCAUAAAGCACAGCUAGAGAAGCCUCUGGACCACAGCUGGAGAAAGCCCGUGGGCCACAACGGAGACCCAGCACAGCAAAAAAAAAAAAGACGGCCUUUCCACAAACCGAACCAGUUAGUCAAAGCCUAAGGCAGCUCUCCUCAUCCCUAUGGCUGUCUGUCUCCUGUGACUCCCAAACCACUCAUAACAAUCCUGUGAUUCCCGGGCCUCCGGCUUCCCAGACACUGGCAGCCCCCGUGCCUCCGGACCUCCCGCACAAUUUGUUGGUGAUUUGAAGGAGCAGCUUCCUGUCUAAUUCAAGAAUCUGGGCUCCACGGUUUAUGCUAGAGUCUGCAGUUUCUUCAUCACCCGAGUCAAAAGUUUAUACUGCAGCAGAAAUGACUUGACAGUUUUUCCUAAACUUUUCUGGGUAUUCUAUUUAAAACCUGGCAUCAAUAAGAAACAAUGUCAAACAGCACAUCUUGUGCUAGGACUCAGGCUGGAAGCAGGCAUUGCCUCUAAAUGAAGGUGCAGCCGAAGUCAGGCCCUCUGAUUUAGGAAAAGAAAAUAAGAAGAAGUGAAAAAAUAGAAAUGUUAAUUCCUUAUAUUGCAUUUUUGGUGUUUAAUAAAAUUCCUAUGAGUUCCUA